CGCGUCCCCAGGUCAGGCGGGGUUACCCGCUGAAUUUAA
rnacentral:rRNA from 1 species